rnacentral:lncRNA from 1 species
AUAAAUGUGGGCUCAGAUAUACACGGCCAGCAGUAAUCAUCAUAGCCCAUUACAGGUAUACCAUGAGUAUACAGUAAAUAUACAAUGAAUAUGUCACUUAUCCUUUGGUUUGGAUUCUCAUCUCAACAACCCCACCUAGCACUUUCAAGCGGAGCCACUGUUAUAGUCAUAGUUUUGCUAGAACCCCAUCAUGUUGUUACAAAUC